UACGAAGGGGGCUAGCGUUGUUCGGAAUCACUGGGCGUAAAGCGCACGUAGGCGGAUCCUUAAGUCAGGGGUGAAAUCCCGAGGCUCAACCUCGGAACUGCCUUUGAUACUGGGAAUCUUGAGUCCGGGAGAGGUGAGUGGAAUUGCGAGUGUAGAGGUGAAAUUCGUAGAUAUUCGCAAGAACACCAGUGGCGAAGGCGGCUCACUGGCCCGGUACUGACGCUGAGGCACGAAAGCGUGGGGAGCAAACAGG
rnacentral:rRNA from 1 species